rnacentral:rRNA from 1 species
GACGAACGCUGGCGGCGUGCUUAACACAUGCAAGUCGAACGGAAAGGCCCUGCUUUUGUGGGGUGCUCGAGUGGCGAACGGGUGAGUAACACGUGAGUAACCUGCCCUUGACUUUGGGAUAACUUCAGGAAACUGGGGCUAAUACCGGAUAGGAGCUCCUGCUGCAUGGUGGGGGUUGGAAAGUUUCGGCGGUUGGGGAUGGACUCGCGGCUUAUCAGCUUGUUGGUGGGUUAGUGGCUUACCAAGGCUUUGACGGGUAGCCGGCCUGAGAGGGUGACCGGCCACAUUGGGACUGAGAUACGGCCCAGACGCCUACGGGAGGAAGCAGUGGGGAAUAUUGCACGAUGGGCGGAAGCCUGAUGCAGCAACGCCGCGUGCGGGAUGACGGCCUUCGGGUUGUAAACCGCUUUCGCCUGUGACGAAGCGUGAGUGACGGUAAUGGGUAAAGAAGCACCGGCUAACUACGUG